UGGACGGUUCAGUUGGUAGAGCCCCAGAUUGUGGAUCUGGUCGUCGUGGGUUCGAGUCCCAUCGUCCAC
rnacentral:tRNA from 1 species